rnacentral:rRNA from 1 species
AAGCUCGUAGUUGAAUUUCCGAAUCAAUGGAUUGGUCAUGCCGUUGGUAUAUACUGGUCAUAUUGGUUCUCACCUUCUAAGGAACCAUAAUGUCACUCAUUUGAUGUUUUGGGGAAUUAGGACUGUUACCUUGAAAAAAUUAGAGUGUUUAAAGCAGGCUAACGCUUGAAUACAUUAGCAUGGAAUAAUGAAAUAGGACAUCGCAUUCUAUUUUGUUGGUUUCUAGGAUCGAUGUAAUGAUUAAUAGGGAUAGUUGGGGGUAUUAGUAUUCAAUUGUCAGAGGUGAAAUUCUUGGAUUUAUUGAAGACUAACUACUGCGAAAGCAUUUGCCAAGGAUGUUUUCAUUAAUCAAGAACGAAAGUUAGGGGAUCGAAGACGAUCAGAUACCGUCGUAGUCUUAACCAUAAACUAUGCCGACUAGGGAUCGGAUGAUGUUGAUUUUUUAAUGACUCAUUCGGCACCUUACGGGAAACCAAAGUGUUUGGGUUCCGGGGGGAGUAUGGUCGCAAGGCUGAAACUUAAAGGAAUUGACGGAAGGGCACCACCAGGGGUGGAGCCUGCGGCUUAAUUUGACUCAACACGGGGAAA